CGCCAUCUAACCCUAGUCACCCGCGCCCCCCCUCCACUCCGCCCCCGUCUCCUCCCUCAGCGGCGGCGGCGGCGGCGGCGGCUGCUGCUGCUGCUGCGGCAUCGGUGUCAGCGAAGAUGUCGGGCGGCUUCUUCCGGGGGACGUCCGCUGACCAGGACACGCGCUUCUCCAACAAGCAAGCCAAGCUGCUCAAGACGCAGAAGUUCGCGCCCGAGCUUGACCAUCUGGUGGAUAUGUCAAAGGUUAAGAUGGACGUGAUGAAGCCCUGGAUUGCCAAGCGAGUCACUGAGCUCCUUGGGUUCGAGGACGAGGUUCUCAUCAACUUCAUCUAUGGCCUCCUCGAGGAGAAGGAAGCGGAUGGAAAGAAGAUUCAGAUCCAGCUGACAGGUUUCAUGGAGAAGAACACAGUGAAGUUCAUGAAGGAGCUCUGGAGCCUUCUCCUCAGUGCACAGCAAAAUGCCAGUGGGGUGCCUCAACAGUUUCUGGAUGAAAAGGAGGCUGAGAUACAGCAGAAAAAGGCAGAGGAUGAUAGGAUUGCACAGGAGAUCCAAAAGAAGCGAGAGAAAGAGGCAAAGGACUCAGAACUGGAAAAGAACAAAAUGACGGAUGGGGAUGCUGGUAACUCAAGAUCCUUUGGUGAUCCAGUUGGCUCUGCUUUAAAUAGUACAAAUUUCAAUGCCGACGAAGAAAAAGACAAUGAUUUCAAGCGCAGCUUAAGACCAAAGAACAGGGGAAGUCGCAGAUCCAGGAGCAUAUCUUUGUCGCCACGCGGUAGGCAAAGAUCUAUUUCUCCCAGAAAUAAUUCUCGUUCUCCUCCUAGGCGUUCCCGCUCUAUUGAUAGACACCGUAGAUCAUCACGGCGUUCACCUUCACCUAGACAUUCUGUUUCUCCCCGAAGGCAUUCUCCAAGAACCACAACUUCAAUUUCUAGAAGGAGAUCACCUUACUCAAGGAGAGGGUCACCUUCCUUGUCAAGAUACCCAUCCCCAUCUUCACGCCGGAGGUCUCCUCGUCGCAGAAAAUCACCAUCAUCUGGGCCAGAAAGGUCACUUUCUCCUCGCCAUCGUCGUUCACCAGCUCGUGCACCAAGGAGAUCACCAUCUCCUACAAGUCGAAGGUCUCCUGUUCGACGCAGAUUCUCACCAGGUAGACGUCCAUCCCCAUCCCCAGCAAGGCGCAGGCCAAGGUCCCCAUCUCCAGGAAGGCGCAGGCCAAGGUCCCCAUCUCCAGGAAGGCGCCGGCCAAGGUCCCCAUCUCCAAGAAGGCGCAGGCUACGGUCCCCAUCCCCAGGAUGGCGCAGGCCACGAUCCCCGUCCCCAGGAAGGCGCAGGCCACGGUCCCCGUCCCCAGGAAGGCGCAGGCCACGGUCCCCGUCCCCAGGAAGGCGUAGGCCUCGGUCCCCAUCUCCAGGAAGGCGCAGACCAUGGUCGCGAUCUCCAAUAAGACGUCGAUCCCCAUCUCCAAAACGUCGGAGGAGAUCACCGAGUUCACCAAAGACUCGUUCUGCAAAUCGGCGUUCGUCUCCACAGGGAAGGAGGAGUAUCACUCCGAAAACUAGCAGGAGUCCUGAUCGUUCUCGCCGGAGUUUAAGUAGAGACAUCGAGAAAGAAACAAAUGGCAUCCCCUCCAUUAAAGACAGAGAUGUGCACCCAAGGGGCCAAGAACAAAAAUCAGAUGAUGCCGAUAGGGAUGUUGCAAGGAUUGGUGGUCGUCAUUCCCCAGAUUCUGAGCAUAGAUUGUCAAAAUCCUUGAGGUCUCCUAACUAUGAAGAAAGGAACUCCAAACGUGAUAGCUCUUUCAAGAACUCAGGCAAACAUAUACCUAGUCAGGGCAGCGCAGAUACAAGUGGAGAUGAGGAAGGCAGUCGUGCUAGAGAGAAUGCCCGAAAAGCAAAUUCAGCUCGUAGGAAAACAAAGGAUUUCUCGGCAGGUCUGGAACUUAAGAAAGUUGGUGCCGGUGACUCAAGCCCUAGAGAAAAAUCUCCAUUCAGUUUACGACAGAGUGGCAAGGGUGUCCAGAAGAAACACCCUGAUCAACUGUCAGAAUCAUCAGAAGACGAGCUUGUUGGUACAGGAAUAAAGCGUCAAACUGAUUCACCUGAAGACUCUCAUGGGAAACAAUGUUCCCCUACUAGAAUUGAAAAUGAUGCCACUUAUUCGAAGGAUGGUAGAAACAGUGAGCAUGUCAUGAGAGGUUUGCGUGAUGAUUCUGAUGAUGCUAUUGAUGCAAAGAAAUAUUUAUCUAAAGUCAAUGAGGACUCCCAAUUGGAAGAUGGAAGCCCUUUGAAAAAAACUAAGAAAAGAACAUAUGGUAAUAGCCACAAUGAUUCUGGUAGUUCAGGGUCUGAAGAACGUGACAAACAUAGAUCCCACUCUGAGAAGCGAAGGCACAAGAAAGCUCAUAAGCAUAAGAAACAGUAUGAUGAUAGUUCUGAGUCUGAUUCUGAGCCAGAUGGCAAAGAGGCAAAGAAGAGAAGGAAGGAAGAGAAGAGGCUAAGAAAAGAGGAAAGACGUCGAAGACGUGAAGAACGAUACCGCAGAAGGGCGGAACGCCAUGCCAGCAAGCAAAAAUUAAAGAAUACUGAUACUGCUGCUGUGCCUUCAGACUCUGAGAAGGAUCGGGAUUCUGAUUCAGAUGUUGCUGUUAGGAAAAGAGGUUCUCAUGCUGGCAGAGAAGAGUCUGAUCAGAAGAAACUAGAAAUUGAACUUCGUGAGAAGGCCCUUGAAACUCUUAGAGCAAAGAAAGCCAUCAACAACUAGCCUGAGAAAUUCCUUGCGACACAUUUGAAUUUCUAUUUUCAAGAGCUUUUCUCAAUGUUAUGGAAGUGUGUUUAUAUGAUACCUAUUUAAUGUUCUGUGUGUUUACGUGGCAGUUGAUCUGAGGAUUCCUGAGCUGUUUCCUUGAUGCAGAUGCAUUCAGGCUUAGCAGCCAGUUAUCUGAUUAGCACCAUGUGCACAAGCUUUUUAUGUUCUUCAGGAUGAUAUCAACGCCUCAACAAAAACAAGUUGGUAACAUAUUGAUUGGAAAAUCUGCUAAAGCAUUCCUACUUACCAGUUGUUUGGUUGGUGCUGCUUAGUUUCAGGUUCGGCAGCAGUCAAUAUAUCUGAUUACCAGGUUCUUAUCAGCAAAAUAUUCCAAGCAGUUAAUAAUUUGCAAUGCCUAAGUCAUCAUUACUUUUCAGUAACUUAUUUCUAAUGUUGACUGAGAAAUAGAGGCCUUAUGCCACAUUAUUUCACACAUUGAAUCAGCAAACCAGCUGGUUAUUUGAGUUGCAAUUAAGAUUUGCAGAAAUCAUCUUCCACCUAAGAUGAAAUGCUAAAGUUUGCAGAGGAUUUUAAUGGACUCUAGGUUUAGUCCACAAACUUAUGCUAUUAUAUUAUACUUGCUGUUUCAAUGAUA